AUGGUCUCCAGGCUCCUCUGCUGGGUGGUCACAUGCCUCCUGGGGGCAGGCUCAGUGGAUUCUGGAGUCACGCAGACGCCAAGAUAUCUGAUCAAACAACCAGGACAGAAGGUGACACUGAGCUGCUCCCCCAUCUCUGGGCAUCUCUCUGUUUUCUGGUACCAGCAGGCCCAGGGCCAGGGCCCCCAGUUCCUCAUUCAGUAUUACAGCGGGGAUGAGAGGGAUAAAGGCAACAUCCCCGAACGGUUCUCGGGCCAACAGUUCACUAACAGCAGCUCGGAGCUGAACCUGAGCGCCCUGGAGCUGGGGGACACGGCCACGUUCCUCUGUGCCAGCAGCAAGGACACAGCCCUGCAGGGCCCCCAGUGCCCAGUGCACAAACCUCCCGCCCGGCUCAGGAAGUGA